UUACCUCAAAAAAAUAGAGAUGGAAGAUGAAGAGAAACGUUCAUUAAGAGUCAUCAUCAUCGUAAUCUUCUGCGUCUUCUUCAGCUAUGGUUUCUAAUGUAGGAGAGUUUGAAGAUUUCUGAGGAGAGAUCAAAAGGGCUGGAGCAACCUCCAUCCAUG